GACGAACGCUGGCGGCGUGCUUAACACAUGCAAGUCGAACGGAAAGGCCCUGCUUGCAGGGUGCUCGAGUGGCGAACGGGUGAGUAACACGUGGGUGAUCUGCCCCUUAUUUUGGGAUAAGCCUGGGAAACUGGGUCUAAUACUGGAUAGGACCAUGCUGUAGGUGGUGUGGUGGAAAGAUUAGUUUCGGUAAGGGAUGAGCUCGCGGCCUAUCAGCUUGUUGGUGGGGUAAUGGCCUACCAAGGCGUCGACGGGUAGCCGGCCUGAGAGGGUGGACGGCCACAUUGGGACUGAGAUACGGCCCAGACUCCUACGGGAGGCAGCAGAGGGGAAUAUUGCACAAUGGGCGCAAGCCUGAUGCAGCGACGCCGCGUGGGGGAUGACGGCCUUCGGGUUGUAAACUCCUUUCAGCCAUGACGAAGCCCUUGUGGUGACGGUAGUGGUAGAAGAAGCACCGGCUAACUACGUG
rnacentral:rRNA from 1 species